rnacentral:lncRNA from 1 species
AUAACACACACACUGAUCUCAACUUAUUGAAUAUCCGGACGUAAGUUAAAUACUUAAAUUUAUUUUUGAAUAAACUCACUUGUUCAUAUGCAUAUUCUUUCCCUUUUUUUCUUCUUUUUCUUUUUUUUUUUUUUAUUGGAUUUUCAGAAUUGACAAACAAACACCUGUUUAUAAAUAGCAAAUCGACGUCACUACCAUUUAAUUAUAAUAUAAAUUUAGGAUACCAAUGUUACUGGAAAUACUCGAAUCAAACAUAUUUACAAAGCUUGCAAAGUCAAAUUCUAAUAUUAUUAUGACAUAUUCUAAUUCCGAUUACAUUUCAAUAUUUGUCCAACUGAAGUUUUAACCCAUUUUCUAGCAUAUAAUAGGUUGCAUUGCUUCUUCAGAAAUCAUAGUUGUUGCUUCCAAAUGAAGCCGUUGCAAUUUAUGUAAACCUGUUAAAUAUUAUAUCUAAAUUUUCAAAAGAAAGUUUAGCCUUAAUAUUACUAGGAUAUGUAAAAGGAUUACGUAGUUUUACAGUAAGAAGCACAAUGAUGCUAAGUGGUAAUUUAUUUCUGACCCACAUAGGAUUUCAAUCAACAUGACAUAACAAGACUACGGUACAAAUAAACAAAUCUUUGAACACUAUUUAAUAUUUUUUCACCAAAUAUUAUAAAUGUAAAACUUCAAUUGAUAUAUAAGAUAAACCUAACAAUGACUUAAACCUUUAAUGUUGAUCUUUAGUUGUUAUAAACACACAAUCACUAUGCUCCUUGUUUUUUAACCUACGUUUUUUUAAAUACCAUUAUACUAUGACACACAAACUGAUCUCCACUUAUAGAAUAUUCAAACAUUUCAUUUUUUAGUUGAACGCAUUUAUUCAUAUUAUUACAUGAAACUGUGCAUAUCGUCAGAGAAACAUUUAUGCACUACACAUACAUUUGUAAAUUCAAUUAUCAAUACUAAUAGUAUAGCUAUGAACGAAUUAAGAAAAAAUUCAUGGAAGCCAUAGAUUUGUUGGAAAUAUUCACACGGCCCAGGCCAUGUAUAUAUUUACAACAAAUCUAUGGCUUCCAUGAAUUAUUUCGAUUCUAAUAGGACAAAUAAGUUCAUUCAAAUACUGAAGCGAGGGUGGGUAUGCCGUGUAUGUAGCUGUUCUUUUUUACUCCUUGUUAGAUAAAGCUCAAAUAUUCUCAUAAAUCUUUAGCUUGCAUAGUUUAGUUCGUUAAUAACCGCUUGAAAAAAAUAUGUUUAAUUCUCAAACCCAAUAUUUGCGAUUUUUAAUUUACAUGUUUUCUCGUAACCUACUGUGAAAUCUAAAAUUGACAUUUCGUAACGAAGGAGUUGCCAUGUUGACUAGCUGAAAUCAGUUAAGAUGCAAAUAAUGCAACAGAAUAGAAAAAAAAAUAAAACCUACCUUAGAAUUCCAUUUUAAUACAAUAUUUUACGAACUUCGAUGGUUACAAAAUAGUGUUACAUUUUUGUGACAUAAAAUCGUAACAUAAAUAUCAAGCUUAUUUUCAUCCCUUAAUGAACCUCUGAUUGUGGAGAAAGUUGUUCCAUGAUGAAAUUGACAUUUCACAAAAUAUAGCUGUGUUACUAUAUUUAGGAAAUAAACACAACUAGUUGCAGCAUAUUAAUUCUUUUUAUUAUGCAUCCGAAUAAGAAUAAAAGUUCUUUUGUCCUUUGUUUUAUUACAAUUUCUAAUACAAUAAAAUCGGCAAAGCGUUUGCAAAUAGGUUCAAAUACAUGUGGAUUUACGUGGGAGGUAUAUUGUAACAUCUAUUAUUAUGUAUAUCUCUGAGUCUGCGCUAAGUAUAGAUAUAUCGAGAAUUUUCACACGGUGUUGUGAACAAAGCGAAAGAACCACGUCAUAUUAGAAUUGAAGGUUUAAUUACUUUUAUGGAUUUUCAAGAGACCAAGUCAAGUUUAAAAAUCAGACGUCUUUAUAUAUAUUAUUUUGAUUAUAUUUGAUAUUAAGGUAACUUGACCUUCUAGUACACAACUAGGCACCAACACCAUUUGCGACAAUGUCGACGAAAUCAGACAGAGUAAUAAUACGGUAUGGACCAUACGGAUCCUGAGGGGUAUUUACACACAAAGAAAUGCGGUUGAAAUCGUUAAUAAGUAAGUAGGAAAAACAUAUGAACAUAAAUUAUAUAUACUAUAUCCAAAGAUAAACAUUGUUUUUUUAUUAUCAAUUUAUUGCAAUAAAAAGUAAAAUCACAAGCUCAUACACAUCAAACGAAUGGAUAAUAACUGUCAUAUACCUGAUCUAGUUCAGGCAUAUUCUUAUGUAGAAAAUUAUGGAUUAAACAUGGUUUUAAAGCUAGCUAAACCUCUCACAUUUAUGACAGUCGUAUGACAGAAAGUAUCAUCAUGAUGUUCAACCAAGGAUUGUAUUAUAUAGAAAAAUUGUGUGGUAUUAUUGACAAUAUAACUAACUUUUAAUUGCUAUGGACGUAGAGAUGUAGGCAACCGUAGGUCUCUGUACAUUUACCUGCAAUGAAACAAACAACUCAUACCAUAUUCUAUGCUAUAGAAAGUUACGACAUGAUAGAAUGUGAAACAAUUCAAACUGUCUGAUGUAUUUAUAAACAAAUUAACGGAUAGUAGAAAACGAAACGAAUUUAUAUCACCAUCAAUAACAUCAUCAAAUCCGAUGCUCAGAAAGGAUCAACAAUCAAAAAAAAAUUAGAGAGGAAUGUUUCAUACGGACAAAUCUUUCGAUUUUAGUCUCCACUGUAAAAGAAAUAUAACAUAAAAAUCUCUUAAGCUUGCUUGCUUGUAGUGGAUUCAAGCUGUAAUGCUGUUAUAAUGUGCUUGCUUACAAUUUACGUUAAUUAUACUACUCAUGACAAUUAGGAAACCAAAUUUAAAUAUUAAUUUCAGAGUAUCUGGAAAACAUGGGAUUAGAAACUCAACUGGUUCAGAUCCAACUCAAAGAGGUUCUUAUAGUUAUAGUUAACGGCAAAACAGUAUGGAAAGGGAACAUAAAAUCUCUUCCUGUAGGCAAGUUUUUUUUUUUUUUAUAAAAUCACCAAAAAAACCCUACCUGUUCUAUGAUACAACAGAAACGAAAAUUUUAUUUUCAUCAGAUCGACACCAUUCACACAAAUUUCAAAAAAAGACGAAAGACACUAAUCCGGUCAUACAAGUCCAGCUUUAGUGAAAACUAUAUGAAGCAACCAUUAAACAAGUAAAUCAGGUUUUCCCCGAUUAAAUAUAAAAUCCAAAGGAUUUAAUGUAAAGACGUCAUUAUCAGUCUAAGGAAAGCAUGAAAAAAUAAAUGCAAUAGUAGUAUAUCGCUGUUCAUACGUCAUAAUCGAUAGAGAACAAUCCGGACAAAAACAGGGAAACAUUAUGAGGACACAAUGGGAGAGCACAAAACCAGAAAAAAAAAAAAAAACAACUGCCAACAUACAUAGAUACAGACUAUUUGAUAACAAGUGUCAUACCGUAUAGCGGGUUAUUUUUGCGGGUGUAAAAUUUCACGAUUUUUAUUGAAUAAGGUAUAUGAAAUAUUCUGGCGGUUAUUAUUUUGGCGGAUUCAAAACCUUUGCAUGUACACUUUUAAUUUGGCGGAAUUUAUUUUUGCGAUUUUGUUCUAUCCUCGAAAAUAAACGAAAAUUUUAUACCCGGCGAAAAUAACCCGCUAAACGUUUGUUUUUGACUUGGUACAGGAUAUUUAAGUAGAAAGGUUCUGUUUCAAACUGGUUUUAUGACAAUACAAACCUCUCGCUUAUAUGGGAAUGUAAUACAAAUAUUGUUUAAAUAACAUCAUUACGUGACAGCAUGACCGUGUCCAUUGCGAUAUGGUAUAGCAUAAAUAUGUGUUCAUAACUGGUGUUAGUUAAACACAUACAUAGCCAUGUUUUUAUUCAAAAUGAAUGCUAGUACCGAUAAAGACGAUAUCACAAGACAUUGGUUAGCUUCUAAACUUUAAAACAAUUUUUAGAAAAGUUAAGACAUAUUUCAAAUCUGACCAGUUUUUCACAAUAAAAACACUGUUUGAUUGAAUUUUAUCAUCAAAAUUAGUGUCAAUAGAUAUUCGCACAUAAGUAUAUAUAUCUUUCUACAGGUAUUCUUCUUUAAACGACAUAAUUUGAAAAAUAAAUCAUUUAAACCAGAAAAUACAAAAAAUUGUCGAAGACAUUUUCAUAACCUUCGCCAGAUAUUCAGUGGUAUAAACUCAUCAUAGAUACCAGGAUUAAAGUUUGUAUUUACCUUAGAAACGCGUUUCGUCUACAAAAAACUCAUCAGUGACGCUCGAAUCCCCCAAAAGUUAAAAGGCAAAAUAAAGUACGAAGUUGGAGAGCAUUGAGGACCAAAACAUGUUUUACAAAGGACUUGCUUUAUAUUCUUUAUUUUCAUUCCAGGCAGUUAUCCUGAGACUUUUACUACAUGUUCAAGCAUUCUUCGAAGUGUUUCUUCUGCAAUAAAAUAGCAUGCUAUUUUGUUAACUUUAAUGACUAUGACCGUAUGAAAAUGCUAUGUGAAAGCUUGAAUAUUGAAAACAUAGUGUUUGAUGUUGGUAUAGACAGAAAAGUAUAAUCGUAAAACAUAGUUUGCUUUGUUAUUAUUAUGCCAACGCAUACAAAAAAA